AUUGAACGCUGGCGGCAUGCCUUACACAUGCAAGUCGAACGGCAGCACGGGUGCUUGCACCUGGUGGCGAGUGGCGAACGGGUGAGUAAUACAUCGGAACAUGUCCUGUAGUGGGGGAUAGCCCGGCGAAAGCCGUAUUAAUACCGCAUACGAUCUACGGCUGAAAGCGGGGGCCCUUCGGGCCUCGCGCUAUAGGGUUGGCCGAUGGCGGUUUAGCUAGUUGGUGGGGUAAAGGCCUACCAAGGCGACGCUCAGUAGCUGGUCUGAGAGGACGACCAGCAACACUGGGACUGGGAGACGGCCCAGACUCCUACGGGAGGCAGCAGUGGGGAAUUUUGGACAAUGGGCGAAAGCAUGAUCCAGCAAUGCCGCGUGGGUGAAGAAGGCAUUCGGGUGGUAAAGCACUUUGGUCCGGAAAGAAAACCUUGGCCCUAAUAAGGUCGGGGGAUGACGGUACCGGAAGAAUAAGCACCGGCUAACUACGUG
rnacentral:rRNA from 1 species